GACAGAGGUGCCAAGCGUUAGGCGGAAUCACUGGGCUUAAAGCGUGUGUAGGCGGAUCGUUAAGUACCUUGUGAAAUCCCACGGCUCAACCGUGGAACUGCUGGGUAUACUGGCGAUCUUGAGCCACCUAGGGGCGAGCGGAACAAGCGGUGGAGCGGUGAAAUGCGUAGAUAUCGCUUGGAACGCCAAUGGUGAAAACAGCUCGCUGGGGUGUGCUGACGCUGGAGACACGAAAGCCAGGGAGCGAACGGG
rnacentral:rRNA from 1 species